rnacentral:lncRNA from 1 species
AUCUGGUAAUCUCUGAAGCUAGCUGUUUUAGUUGUCACUGUUAAGAGCUUGUUCUUCAGGUGACUCUGUUAGCCCCUAUAAGCAGACCUGGAGGGUAGCACUCUCCUUAGUUUCAGUGGGCAGAGUAUUCUCUGCAGGCAAGCUCUCUUCUUGCAAGGCAGGUACCCAGAUACCUGGUGUUCGAACCAGACUCCUGGCAGAAGUUGUGUUCCACUCACUAGAGGUCGUAGGAUCACGUGUGGAAUCCUGUGUGAGCCCUUGCGGGUAUUAGGCGACUCAGCUGGCAAGGUAGCCCGGGGCUCCAGUGGAGUGGAAGGGGUUUGUGCCCCAGAUCAAGCCCGGGUAGCCUGCUUUCCUAUGUACAGCAGUCUCAGGUUCCGAGCGAUUGGAUUGGGGCAGGCGCUGUGUUCCACUCACCAGAGGUCUUAGGAUCCCGUGGGGAGUCCCGUGUGGGCCCUUGCGGGUGUUGGGCAAGACUCUGCUGGCAAGGUAGCCCGGGGCUCGAGUCGAGCAGAAGGGACUUGUGCCCCAGAUCAAGCCCGGGUAGCCUGCUUUCCUAUGUACCACAGUCUCAGGUUCUGCGCGAUUGGAUUGGGGCAGGCACUGUGUUCCACUCACCAGAGGUCUUAGGAUCCCGUGGGGAGUCCCGUGUGGGCCCUUGCGGGUGUUGGGCAAGACUCUGCUGGCAAGGUAGCCCGGGGGUCGAGUCUCGAGUCCUAACAUUUCUUUUUAUCACACUAUAGUUUCCUUCAAGUUUUUGUUCGGUUGGAUUUUGCUAUUCUUCUUUGGUUUUUGUUUGUUGGUUGGUUUGUUUGUUUUGUUUUGACAAGCAUCAGUGCCCCGUUCCUGCCAAUUCCUCUGGCGUUCAUCAGUCUGCAAUGAAACCACAAGAAAGCAAUGUGUUCUCUACACAAGACUGUUCCUUUACCACUGUGUAGAAAGAUGUAUGUGGGCUACUGGCCUCAUUGGCAGUCAGUCUCUGUUGAUUGUCCUACUGUAGGAGCUUGUCAAGAAAAUCUAGGGGCUCAGGGUUAAGAAGAUGUCUGGUCUUACUAUGGGUAAAGUUUUCCCAGUGCUGUGGAUCUAAGGGGACUCUUCUUUUAGAGUGCAUGGCGUGUUAGAAGCUUGGAGCUGUUGAAUACGUACCUGCAUUUAACAAGAUACCACUGUAGAAGUAACACAUUCAUGCAACAAGCUCUGAAUAUCCGACUUCCUAUCUAUUCCAUUGUGGUCUGGUUUUCUUCUGUGAGAAUUCAGGUUCAAGGUUUAGUAAAAGUUGGCAGUCUUUUCUGACAUACUAGCCUUAUUUACAAAACCAAAACCAAACCAGCCAACCAAACAGAAAUAGGCCCUGUCCUCAGCGUAUUGUUCAGGGGAAAGGGGCAUUAAUUUAUCCUUUUGUCUUAAUCUUUUGGAUUUAGAUGUUGAUGUAGAUUUACUCUCCAAUAUGGUUAAGUGGUUGCAAUGUGUUCCAGUGCCUAUGGGCCACAGUCACUUUAUAUCUUUAAUAAAAACGGUCCUUGCCUUCUUACCAUACGGCUUUUGUAUUCGGGAAAUUUACAGGAUUUCUCUCACAGUGAGAGAUGUGAAAAUUGUUACAUGUGUUCUGGACAUAGCCCAUCCAAUUUGGACCUACAUGCUGUAACUGGAAGGUAAAAGUAGCAAUCGCACUUGGAUAACGGGCACUACAACUUAUGACUGAUUUACCCCAAAUCUACUUAGAUGUUUAUGAAUAGAUAGUCUUAUGUUUUGUAACUAUUUUUGUUUUUACAGAUACUUAUAAGAUCUUCUUAAGUUAUAUAAUCACUUAAACAAAGAAAAAUAAUGUCAUGUACUUGAUGCAUAUAAUCUAACAUUAAACACAUUGCACAGUUGAUGUGUGAUUGAUAUCAAUUAUAGGAUAAUUACUUAGUCUAUAACAUUCUCUGUUUUUCCUUUAAAAUAAGUUACUUUAAAUAUUUAUUAUUAUCACACUUAAAAUGGGAAAAUGAGAGUUAGUGAGCAUAAAGAUUUACAAAUUCAAAACCAUGGAAACCCCCAGCCCAGACCUCAGUCUUGGUUUUCCGAUCUCUUUGUCAGAUCAGGAACUGUUGCUCUUGCUCAUACAGCUGAUAUGAUUUAAGAUGGGGCAGAGGAAUAAGAAGGUGGGCCCUCAUCUAUUGAGCUUGACAAAGAAGCCUCCUCAGGCCCACAGAGACAGAUUCUCAAGCACCAGGCAUGGCUUUAGCCUCUGUGUAAAGGACCCACAUGGUCCCCAGUUGUGAUCAUCCUCCAGAUGGUCAGCAGCAUAAAAAUCUGGAUGAAAAUUAGGGCAUGCAGAUGAUCUAUACAAGGUUCACAGCUUGACACCACUGAAGCAAUUUCAGACAUCAUGCCUGAAGCUCACAAUUUUUAUUGCUUUGAAACAGAGAAAAACCAGAGUCUUAAUUUUUUUUUAAUUCCAGUAAAUUCUCUUCAUGAUUCCCAUGCUUAGUUGGCUAUAAUUUUAAGCUUUUGGGUUGUUUCUUUUGUUUUUCAAAAUAUAUUAUAGGUACAUCAUUUCUCCCUUCUGGUUCUUCCCUCCAAACCCUUUCAUAUGGGCUUUUUUUGCAUUGGUUGUUAUUGCAUAUGUGUGUCUAUUACAUAUGCCAUAUAUAUAUACAUACAUACAUACAUACAUACAUACAUACAUACAUACAUACAUAUGUGUGUGUGUGUGUGUGUGUGUGUGUGUGUGUGGUUUUUUUGUUUAUUUGUUUGUUUUUUGGGGCUGAUCAUUUUGUAUUCGUUAGCCAAUUAGUGUUUUCUUCCCUAGGGGCUACUAUUUCAAGGGCUUUCAGCAUUUCUGAAUUCCUGUUGUUCUUCGUAUUGGGUUGGAACUUUAUGACUUUUGCACAUCCACUUUGGUGUGUCUAUUAUUGUCUUUGUUCAGCUCAUGUUUAGACAGUCAUGCUAAUGAUAUUUUAUGGGUGUAGCUUCUGACAUUACUAGGAGAAACAGUCUCACUAAAUGAUCUGAUACUCUGGCUCUUAAAAAUUUUGCUCUCUCUUCUGCAAUAUUGUGAAUAUUGUGCAGCACUGUUGUAGGCACAUCAAGCAGAAUUUACAUGAACAUAGUCUACAUCUAUGUUAACUAAGUCAUCUGAAUCAGGUAUACUCUACAUAAGCAACUAGAACACAACCUUCUUUAUAAAUCCAGGAAAACUCAUUUGAUACCUAGAUGCUUCUUCAACUUCAUCUAUAAUCAUAAGUUCCCCAAUUUGC